CUCUUUCUCCAAUGACUCCAUAAGAUGCAGUAUCAGUGCCAUUUUUGCUAAUACUGUAUUCAUGCAUGCUUGCUGUUUGUAGGGUUUAUGAGUAACACAAAAGUGACUGUCCAGAGACCUCAGCCAGGUUGUAGCUGUUCUUCUCAGAGAUGUGCCAGAAGAAAGAAUAGCCCCUCUGUCUGGUCUUCCUAGCUCUUUUAAAGAAAAUUGCACAUAAAGUGGAAAGAAGACAAAUUGGAGAAUGCAAUAAGAGCUUAACCUUUAGUUCUCCAGUGAGGAUUUUUGGAGGCACUUCUCAGAGCAACAACUGAAAUGAAGGCCUUGAUUCACAAAACAGAACUUCUUCCCAGCUUCAUCCAACAGCACAGUGGUGCCAGUACUUUGACUGGAGGAGAGGUAUGACAUGUAUCUCUAAGAACAGAACCAUCAAAAAUUCCAUAAGAGCAAACUGGCCUCGGAGAAAAUUAGAAGAUUCAAACUCAAAAGACGAAAUAAGUAAUUUCAUCUGCUGGAAAGUUUCUGGAAAAAAAAAAAGAAGAAGAAGAAGAAGAAGAAGAAGAAGAAGAAGAAGAAAAAUAGUACCUGAAAAAGCUGAGAAAGAUAUCCAGAGUAAUUCUGUAUAUAGGCCUAUGAAUCAUCUAGUUCAAGCUGUUGAUCUGAUCAAAGAGUUUCUAAAUAUCUGAACUUCUUACUACUUAUGCUUGUUAUUCUUCUAUUUUGGUGGGGUUCUUUCUACAGUUUUUAAUGCCUUAAAAUAGUGGUUUAUUUUCUUUUCCUAUGAAGAAGAACAGAAUCUUGAAACACUAGGAAGUAUUGAAAUGGACUGUUGCAUAUAAUUUAGCAGCAAGAUCUUUUGCUUUCCAUUAUUAUUGCUUUAAUGAGAAUCCAUGGUAGAGUUCAGGCUUUUUGCUGCAGAGCCCUUGAGUUUAGAGUGGACUCAGCUCUGUCUGAAUCCAGUGCAAUUCAGCUGUUUUCCUGUUCUUCUAAGUAAUGUGUUGGAUAAGUUGGCGUGUGCAGUUCUAUAUUAUCUGAUUGGUUUUAUCUUAUUUAUUUCUAUAUAUGUGCAUGUAGAAAUACAUACAUGGGGGGGCAAUAUGGAAGAAAAUGGCUAUAUACAUGGCUCAUGUUUUGUAAAUCUUUUGUUAUUUUUUUGCCUGGAGGUUUUGAUUUUUAGCUAUUGUCUUUUUUUUCCCCCGUGAUUCUGGGGACUGUAGAACAUGUUUAUACUUGAGAUUUGCUAACUGGCCAGUGGACAACUUACAUCUUACUGAAACUUGGAAUUGAAACUAGAGAAACUAGAGAAACAAAAGUGGGGAAUUGCUUUAGUAAAACCACUGUGAUACAAUAAACUAUUUUG
ensembl:lncRNA